rnacentral:misc_RNA from 1 species
GUCAGAUGUGUAUAAGAGACAGGUGAAUCAUCGAAUCUUUGAACGCAACUUGCGCUUAAAAUCAAUCAUUUUAAGCACACUUGUUUGAGUGUCGGUUUAUAACACACUUUUAAUGUGUUUGAGUUUCAACCUGUAUUGGUCGUUACUUUAAAACUAUGCUAUGAUAUUCAUCUAUCUUACUACUCUUAGUAUAUCUUUGAAAAGUAUUGAUUAGUUGAUAUAUCAUUCAUUCCUCUCAAUUUCUCGACCUCAAAUCAAAUGAGAUUACCGGCUGAACUUAAGCAUAUCAAUAAGCGGAGG